CCUACGGGAGGCAGCAGUAGGGAAUCUUUCACAAUGGGCGAAAGCCUGAUGGAGCAACGCCGCGUGCAGGAUGAAGGCCUUCGGGUUGUAAACUGCUUUUAUAAGCGAGAAAUAUGAUGGUAACUUAUGAAUAAGAUCGGCUAACUACGUGCCAGCAGCCGCGGUCAUACGUAGGAUCCGAGCAUUAUCCGGAGUGACUGGGUGUAAAGAGUUGCGUAGGUGGCAUAAUAAGUAGCUAGUGAAAUCUGGUGGCUCAACCAUUCAGACGAUUAGCUAAACUGUUAAGCUCGAGACCGUUAGGGGUAACUGGAAUUUCUAGUGUAGGAGUGAAAUCCGUAGAUAUUAGAAGGAACACCAAUAGCGUAGGCAGGUUGCUGGGACGGUUCUGACACUAAGGCACGAAAGCGUAGGGAGCAAACGGGAUUAGAUACCCCAGUAGUC
rnacentral:rRNA from 1 species